UACCAGCACCCCGAGUGGUCGGGACGUUUAUUGGGCCUAAAGCAUCCGUAGCCGGUUCUACAAGUCUUCCGUUAAAUCCAACUGCUUAACAGGUGGGCUGCGGAAGAUACUAUAGAGCUAGGAGGCGGGAGAGGCAAGCGGUACUCGAUGGGGUAGGGGUAAAAUCCGUUGAUCCAUUGAAGACCACCAGUGGCGAAGGCGGCUUGCCAGAACGCGCUCGACGGUGAGGGAUGAAAGCUGGGGGGAGCAAACCGG
rnacentral:rRNA from 1 species